rnacentral:rRNA from 1 species
UACGUAGGGUGCGAGCGUUAAUCGGAAUUACUGGGCGUAAAGCGUGCGCAGGCGGUUUUGUAAGUCAGAUGUGAAAUCCCCGGGCUUAACCUGGGAACUGCAUUUGUGACUGGCGGGCUAGAGUAUGGCAGAGGGGGGGUAGAAUUCCACGUGUAGCAGUGAAAUGCGUAGAGAUGUGGAGGAAUACCGAUGGCGAAGGCAGCCCCCUGGGCCAAUACUGACGCCUCAUGCACGAAAGCGUGGGGAGCAAACAGG